rnacentral:lncRNA from 1 species
AACAACCACCUGCACUUUCGCUCUAGUAUCUCUAUACCACAGACUCAAGAUCCAUCUGCUUGAAGAAAGCGAUCCGUGCACUAAUCUAUCUGGAUCAAUCACGAUCCCCAUGAUGAUCCUAUGACCAGGAGCAAUUUAAAAAUUAACCAUCAAUGACACAUAUCUCAAAUUCUUAACUCUUUGAGAAUAUGUGUCAUCAUCUUGUUAAUCCUUUGGAUGAUUCAUGGACACAUAAGCAUGAAUGGUAAUAUAAAUGCCCAAUAAGUACAAAAUCAUAUCCUAGAGAUAUGAAAUGUAUCACUCA